rnacentral:lncRNA from 1 species
UUUGGGGUGACUUCACCCAAUGAAAGCUUGAGGGCGUAGACUUCCGGCCUGCUUCCUGGCGUCUGAUUUCCGGUGUCCAGCACCCUCACUUCUGCGCUUUGAAGGAAGUGAGCUUCUAAUACUGCAAAGCUGAUUCCAAAUGACUGGAACUGCAGCAGCCCACCCUCCGAUUGAAUGGCUCCCUGGAUUCACCUGCACUAAUUGGUUCUCUUUCGGGAAGCCAAGGUCCGGCCCCUUCUCCAGACCCAGGAAGUGACAAGAGUCUCACUAUGUAGCCCAGGCUGGCCUUGAACUCACUAGGACCCUCCUGCCUCAGCCUCCGGAGAGUGUGUCAUGAUGCCUGGCUUGUUUUUGUUUCUGUUUUGCACAAAGAAGCGGCGCAGCAGCUGCUCCUGUGGCUGGUCUGCAAAUCCUCCAUGACUGUUUCUUUAAAUUGCAGCCCUGGGAGUGGAGUGAAGGGACAAAGGGCAACGGGAAAGCUUUUCUUGGGGACUGAGCUGGGCCUUAGGGCUGAGAGCGUUCAGGGGAGGGAAGAGGGCAUUCAGGUGGCGGGAACACCAUGGGCAAGAGUGCCCGGGUAGGAAGAGGUGAGAAUUCCCUAAAGCUGUUGGGGGAAUAACCGGAAACGCCCCACUGUUGGUCUCAAACCCCAGGGUAGCAGAGCUGGGCAGAGCCUGGUGUUCUUCUGGGCCCUCUCCCCUCCUGCUGCCUCCACCUCACCCGCCCUGGGCGCCCUUCACUCUGGGGUCCGAACCCAUCUGCUCCCCAGGCCACACCACGCCCGCCUCGGACCCUACCCCAGGCUCCGCCCACCCCCUCCCUCCCGCCUGGUCCCCGGGCCGACGUCAGCAGGUCCUUCAGCGUCAAGACAGACGGCCGGUCACCCUCGCCCCUUCCUUGGGGUGGACCUCAGCCCAUCGCACCAAGAAGGAGCCCCAUGAGCACUGACAGCAAAGCCUUGGAGUACAGACGGCAUCUUCGUGAAGGCUGGGCCCCAGUGUCCGGGCCCCACGUCCCUGGCUCCUGGACUGCCCAGAGCCCGGUGCCUGGUGCUGCCUCCUCUUCUCGUCUGUCUAUACCGUCUUCCGGGCAUGGAUCCGGACAGGCCAGGCCAAGGGAAACACACACACAUUCUCAUCCUGUCUGGUGACUUCCAAGAGGGUGGCUGGGCACCUCCCGGCCUGUCCCUCAGGGCCCUGCUCUCAGGAGGGCAGGGUCGGGUGCUCUGCUGGGACCCGGCCUGCUCCUGCGUCCAGGGGGACUGCAGAGCCCAGCGCCACCGCCAGCGGGACACUGUGUCUGGGAAUUAAUUCAGACGUCACAUUCCACUCCUUGGCGCGGCCAGCUGUUUCAAUAUAAAGAUAUUUAA